rnacentral:rRNA from 1 species
AUUGAACGCUGGCGGCAUGCUUUACACAUGCAAGUCGAACGGUAACAGCACUUCGGUGGCUGACGAGUGGCGAACGGGUGAGUAAUGUAUCGGAACGUACCCAGUAGUGGGGGAUAACUACUCGAAAGAGUGGCUAAUACCGCAUGAGAUCUCUGGAUGAAAGCGGGGGACCGUAAGGCCUCGCGCUACUGGAGCGGCCGAUAUCAGAUUAGGUUGUUGGUGGGGUAAAGGCCUACCAAGCCUGCGAUCUGUAGCUGGUCUGAGAGGACGACCAGCCACACUGGGACUGAGACACGGCCCAGACUCCUACGGGAGGCAGCAGUGGGGAAUUUUGGACAAUGGACGCAAGUCUGAUCCAGCAAUGCCGCGUGCAGGACGAAGGCCUUCGGGUUGUAAACUGCUUUGUACGGAACGAAAAGCUUUCUUCUAAUACAGGAGGGUCAUGACGGUACCGUAAGAAUAAGCACCGGCUAACUACGUGCCAGCAGCCGCGGU